rnacentral:rRNA from 1 species
CCCAGACUCCUACGGGAGGCAGCAGUGAGGAAUAUUGGUCAAUGGGCGGGAGCCUGAACCAGCCAUGCCGCGUGAAGGCGAGUGCCCUACGGGCGUUAAACUUCUUUUGUGCGGGAGCAAUAAGGGCCACGCGUGGCCCGAUGAGAGUACCGCACGAAUAAGCAUCGGCUAACUCCGUGCCAGCAGCCGCGGUAAUACGGGGGAUGCGAGCAUUAUCCGGAGUGACUGGGUGUAAAGAGUUGCGUAGGUGGCAUAGUAAGUAGCUAGUGAAAUCUGGUGGCUCAACCAUUCAGACUAUUAGCUAAACUGCUAAGCUCGAGACCGUUAGGGGUAACUGGAAUUUCUAGUGUAGGAGUGAAAUCCGUAGAUAUUAGAAGGAACACCGAUAGCGUAGGCAGGUUACUGGGACGGUUCUGACACUAAGGCACGAAAGCGUAGGGAGCAAACGGGAUUAGAUACCCGAGUACG